UUUAUAAAAUACAUUUUAUUGCUGGAAAAUACUAAUAAUCAUCUGAGCCUUCAGCAAGUCAUAAUCCUUUUGCUGGUAGAGGGCCUU